rnacentral:misc_RNA from 1 species
AAGUCGUAACAAGGUAACCGUAGGUGAACCUGCGGUUGGAUCAUUACCAAUUCUUUCUUUUUUCGCGGAAGACUUUGUACUCUUAACUUGGGUCUCAAAAUCGACAUCCUUUGGGAGGUUCGAGAUUGAAUGCACUGAGGAGGGAGGAAGAGUCUUUGCGAAGGAAGUGGAAACCAACUUGUGAACCUGUAAUUGUGCAUUGGCGGCUGUUCAGUGCCUUGUGCUGAACAUGCAUUCAGUUGCGAAGGCUGUCAAUAUAUGUUGUAAACAUUUCUACUUCUAUUUAUUUCCUUGUAUUGUUUCUUUUGAUUAAGAAACCAAGAACAACUAUAAACAAUGGAUCUCUUGGCUCUC